UCCACGCCCUAAACGAUGAACACUAGUCGUCGGGAUGCUAGUCAUCUCGGUGAUGCAGUUAACACAUUAAGUGUGCCGCCUGGGGAGUACGGUCGCAAGAUUAAAACUCAAAGGAAUAGACGGGGACCCGCACAAGCGGUGGAGCAUGUGGUUUAAUUCGAAAAUACACGAAGAACCUUACCUAGCCUUGAUAUCCUUGGAAUCCUAUAGAGAUAUGGGAGUGCUAGUUUACU
rnacentral:rRNA from 1 species